UACGUAGGGUGCGAGCGUUAAUCGGAAUUACUGGGCGUAAAGCGUGCGCAGGCGGUUCGUUGUGUCGGCGGUGAAAGCCCCGGGCUUAACCUGGGAAUGGCCGUCGAAACUGGCGAUCUGGAGUGUGGCAGAGGGGGGUGGAAUUCCGCGUGUAGCAGUGAAAUGCGUAGAUAUGCGGAGGAACACCGAUGGCGAAGGCAAUCCCCUGGGCCUGCACUGACGCUCAUGCACGAAAGCGUGGGGAGCAAACAGG
rnacentral:rRNA from 1 species